rnacentral:lncRNA from 1 species
UUUGGGGUUAUUUAGGGAUUUUUUUAGGGUUUUUUUACACUUUUGUCGCUUCCUCUUCUCAGCCCGGGCUUGGUUUGGGGGGGUCCUAAACCAGCCCUGGGACCCCUCCCCAAAAAAAAAAAACCAACCCCCAAAUUCUGGGGUGUUCCCCUCCCCCACCUCUGUGUGUGUCCGUCGGGGGAGGGGGGGGAGGAAUUUGGGAAUUAAGGAAAAAAAAAAACAAGGAAACCUCGUUUUUACUCAUUUCACCCCUUUUUGUGUGGCCUCGUGUUUGGGGGGGUGGGAAAUCCUGGGGACCCCCCCCAAAAAAUAGGUGGGGGAGGGGGGAGGUGAUAAAGCUUGGAGACCCCUCCCCAAAAACAAACCCGGAGUGACAAAAUCUGGGGACCCCCGACCCCUCCUGGGGACCCCAAUGGAGAAAACUUGGGGACCCCCUGACCCUUCCCUGAACUUCCAGGACCCCCCAAAACCCCACGAGGCAAAACUUGGGGACCCCUCCACUUCAGAGACCCCCAAAAACCCCCCCAAAAUCCCCCAAAAAGGCGCCACCAACCAAGGAACAAAAACCUUUAAUUCCACCGAGCCCCCCAAACCCACCCGGGCCCCUCCACGUCCUCGGGUUCCCCGCGGAUUUUGGGGGUUCCCCGCGGAUUUUGGGGGGCUCCCCGGGUAUUUUGGGGAGGAUUUUGGGGGUCUCAGGCGUGCAGAGCCCUCCAGCGAUCCAGGGGACCCCGGGCAGGGACGUAUUUGAACUUGGUGAACCCCCAUUUCUUGGAGAUGUGGAUCUGGGGGAACCCCAAAAUCAGCUCGGGGACACCCCAAAAACCCCCCCGAGGUAAAACUUGGGGGUCUCCAGGGUGCCCCCCCCACCCACUCAUUUCGAGGCUUUUGGUUCCUGUUUGGAGUUUGGGUUUUUCCCAUGUUGGUGAAUCCAGAAUUUCUCAGAGAUGUUGAUUGGGGGAACCCCCAAAUCAGCUCAGGGAUACCCCAAAAUCCCCCCAUGGUGAAAUUUGGGGCACCCCAAACCCUCCCAAAACUUUUUGGCUCCCUAAAAUUCUGAUUUUGCCCCUCCCAGACUCCCCCACCUCCUCUUUAUCCCCCCCAUCCUCCCACCCCCAUCAACUCUGGGGCACCCCAAGACCUCCCAACCCCCCUGUAAAUCUUUGUGGGGCCCCCCGAGGUUUUUUGGGGUGUCCCAGAACCCUCUGGCACCCCAAAAUCCCCCUAAAAACCCCCAAAAACUCCAAAUUUGCCCCAUCAGAACCUCCCCCACCUCCUCCUCCUCCCCCAUCCUCCCUCCCCCAUCAACUUUGGGCCACCCCAGGA